ACCACCACCCCGACUUUACACUACCCUACCCCGCAGACUGGAGCUUUACGGGAGAUAUUUGCCCAUAUUAUUGUUUGUGCGAGUGCGGGAGGCGCGCGGGCGGCGCUUCGGCAGCGGGGAGGAGGAGACAAAAUGGCGGCCGGCGGAGAAACCGAUUAUCACAUGAACAUGGGCUAAACAUUAUUCCGUGUGUUGCAAGGACAAAUCAGGGGAAAACAUGCUGGACCACAUUUGAUACUCCAAGCCUAAUUAUAGAAUUGUAUUGCUGUGUUUACCUUUCUCCUCUGCUUUCACUGUGAUAUAUACCAUCUCCUCCAUCCAAGAGUUCAGGUGCUGCUAGACCUGCUGAGUUUUUUUUCAGCAUUUUCUGUUUUUGAUGAAGUAACAGAUGCUUAUGAUGGCUUCCUAUGAGCCACAACAUGGGAGAUCCAAUAAUGUUUUAUUAGUUACCACUUUACAAAAUCUCAUUCUCAAUUAUAUACGUUAAAACUUUUUCUUUUUGCAUCCUGUUGUGGACAUAUAUUGCAAGCACUUAAUAUUCUUUGCCCAAUUCCUCAAUUAUUUACUUGCUCAUAUUUUUAAGGAUAAUUUUUGUGAAAAACGUUUGUGUGUGAAGAGUUAUGAGCAAGAUUGGCUAGUAAUGCUAUGGAUGUAUGAAAACUAGUGAGCAUUCACACACACAUUUCCCCUGAAUACAGGACUAACUAACCUCCUUAUCUCUGACUUUGUGAGACUGUCUCAUUGUUUUUGUUUGGUAUCAGCUGACAAUAUGAUUAACCAGGAACUAAAUCAUCACCUAAUGCUAUUUUCCUGUGAAGGCUGUCUUGACAACCGUUGCUUCUGAAUUUUGCCUUUGCUAAAUAGAUUACUCAUGGUUUGAGGCCUUUGGGCGGUGGGGCAGUAGCAGGGCGGCAACGAGCAUUGUGCUGCUGGCUUACACAUUUGGCCAUAUUAGUCAAGAGUGGUGAAUCAAGAAGGGGUGGGCUAUGUGGGGAUAUGUAAAGGUGAGGUUUGUGGGAGAAGUUGGGCAAUUUGGAAGUACCUGGAGUAGAGGUAAGAACUGGAGGGCUGGGUUAUCUCAAUGACCUGUUUGCUUGUAGACAGGACUGUAUAUAUUGUCUGUCUGCUUACUGUAAUUAAUAACUGAAAUAAAAUCAACUUGAUACUAGAGUCUGGAUCAGAAGAUUAUUUUAAUGUACUAAGACAAUACCAUACAGAGCAUGCAUGUGAUUUUCUGACAUGGAGAUUAUGCUUCCUACCAG